CGUACCGUAAACCGACACAGGUAGUCGAGGAGAGUAUCCUAAGGCGCUCGAGUGAUCCGUGGCUAAGGAACUAGGCAAAAUGGUCUCGUAACUUCGGGAGAAGAGACUCCCCUCGUGAGAGGGGACGCAGUGAAGAGGCCCAGGCGACUGUUUAACAAAAACACAGGACUCUGCAAAAUCGUAAGAUGAAGUAUAGGGUCUGACACCUGCCCGGUGCUGGAAGGUUAAGGAAGGGGGUUAGUGCGUAAGUGCGAAGCUCUUAACUGAAGCCCCAGUAAACGGCGGCCGUAACUAUAACGGUCCUAAGGUAGCGAAAUUCCUUGUCGGGUAAGUUCCGACCUGCACGAAUGGUGUAACGAUCUGGGCGCUGUCUCAGCCACGAGCUCGGUGAAAUUGAAGUAUCGGUGAAGAUGCCGAUUACCCGCAACGGGACGGAAAGACCCCGUGAACCUUUACUACAACUUCACAUUGAGCUUGAAUACAGGAUGUGUAGGAUAGGUGGGAGGCUACGAAGCUGUGACGCUAGUCAUGGUGGAGCCAACGUUGAAAUACCACCCUUCCUGUAUUUAGGUUCUAAUCCCUAAAAGGGAAACAGUGUGUGGUGGGUAGUUUGACUGGGGUGGUCGCCUCCAAAAAAGUAACGGAGGCUCGCAAAGGUACACUCAGCAUGGUCGGUAAUCAUGCGAAGAGCGUAUUAGUAUAAGUGUGCUUGACUGAGAGACCGACGGGUCGAUCAGGAACGAAAGUUGGCUAAAGUGAUCCGGUGUUUCCGCAUGGAAGGGACAUCGCUCAAAGGAUAAAAGGUACUCCGGGGAUAACAGGCUGAUCCUACCCAAGAGCUCAUAUCGACGGUAGGGUUUGGCACCUCGAUGUCGGCUCGUCACAUCCUGGGGCUGGAGAAGGUCCCAAGGGUUGGGCUGUUCGCCCAUUAAAGUGGCACGCGAGCUGGGUUCAGAACGUCGCAAGACAGUUCGGUCCCUAUCUGUUGUGGGCGCAGGAAUAUUGAAGGGAGCUGAUUCUAGUACGAGAGGACCGAAUUGGACGUACCGCUAGUGUACCGGUUGUGGCGCCAGCUGCACCGCCGGGUAGCUAUGUACGGCAAGGAUAAGCGCUGAAAGCAUCUAAGCGCGAAGCCAUCCCUAAGAUGAGUAUUCCAGCACGUAAGUGUAAAGGACCCCAGAAGACUACUGGGUUGAUAGGUUAUAGGUGGAAGUGCAGUAAUGUGCGUAGCCGAGUAAUACUAAUUGUCCGACAGCUUCCUUUU
rnacentral:rRNA from 1 species